UACGAAGGGGGCUAGCGUUGCUCGGAAUUACUGGGCGUAAAGCGCACGUAGGCGGCUUUCUAAGUCGGGGGUGAAAUCCUGGAGCUCAACUCCAGAACUGCCUUCGAUACUGGAAAGCUCGAGUCCGGGAGAGGUGAGUUGAACUGCGAGUGUAGAGGUGAAAUUCGUAGAUAUUCGCAAGAACACCAGUGGCGAAGGCGGCUCACUGGCCCGGUACUGACGCUGAGGUGCGAAAGCGUGGGGAGCAAACAGG
rnacentral:rRNA from 1 species